rnacentral:rRNA from 1 species
CCUGGUUGAGCCUGCCAGUAAUCAUAUGCUUGUCUCAAAGAUUAAGUCAUGCAUGUAUAAUUACAUGCCGAAAUAAGGCGAAACCGCGAAUGGCUUAUUAAAUCAGUUAUGGUUCCUUAGAUAGUUUCUUUCUACUUGGAUAACUGUGGCAAUUCUAGAGCUAAUACAUGCAGGGAGCCUGGAGCCCUUUGGGUAACGGGUGCUUUUAUUAGACUAAGAUCGAUCGAGUUUCGGCCCGUAUUGUGUAGUGACCCUGAAUAACUUUAUUUUGAUCGCAUGGUCACGAGCCGGUGACGUUUCUUUGAAAUGUCACGGGCUUGUGGUAGGUUACUUGCUUACCAUGGUUGUUACGGGUAACGGAGAACCAGGUUUCGAUUCCGAAGAGGGAGCCUGAGCAAAGGGCUACCACAUCCAAGAAAGGCAGCAGGCGCGCAAACUGCCCACCCCCUCACGGGGAGGUAGUGACGAAAAAUAACAAUACGGGACUCUUUUGAGGCCCCGUAAAUGAAAUGAGUACAGUCUAAAUAUUUUAACGAGGAUCGAUUGGAGGGCAAGGCUGGUGCCAGCAGCCGCAGUAAUUCCAGCUCCAAUAGCGUAUACUAAACCUGCUGCGGGUAAAAAGCUCAUAGUUGCAUCUCAGUUACAGACGAGUAGUGCAUCUACCCGAUGCGACGGCUCGGACUGAACGCAUUGCCGUUUCUUUCUUGGUGCACUUCAUUAUGUGCCUCGAGAUGGCCGGUGCUUUUACUUUGAAAAAAUUAGACUGCUCAACGCAAGCGAGUCGCCUGAUUAAACUUGCAUAGAAUAAUAGAACAAGACCUUGUUUCUGUUCUGCUGGAUUUUGAAAUACAAGGUAAUGAUUAAGAGGGACGAACGGGGGCAUUCGUAUUGCGGUGCUAGAGGUUAAAUUCUUGGACCAUCACAAGACGAACUACUGCGAAAGCAUUUGCCACGAAUGUUUUCGUUGAUCAAGAACGUAAGUCAGAGGUUCGAAGGCGAUCAGAUACAGUCCUAGUUCUGACCAUAAACGAUGCCAACCAGCGAUCUGCCUGAGUUACUCAAAUGACUCGGCGGGCAGCUUCCGGGAAACCAAAGUAUUUGGGUUCUUGGGAAAGUAUGGUUACACAGCUGAAACUUAAAGAAAUUGGCGGAAGGGCACCACCAGGAGUGGAGCCUGCGGCCUAAUUUGACUCGACACGGGAAAACUUACCCGGCCCGAACACUGGGAGGAUUGACAGAUUGAGAGCUCUUUCUUGAUUCGUUGGAUGGUGGUGCAUGGCCGUUCUUAGUUAGUGGAAUGAUUUGUCUGGUUAAUUCCGAUAAUGAACGAGACUCUAGCCUAAUAAAUAGGUGCGGGGUUCCCAGCACCUUAAACCUUCCAAGAGGGACAAGUGGCUCCUAGCCGCACGAAACAGAGCAAUAAGAGAUCCGUGAUGCCCUUAGAUGUCCGUGGCUGCACGCGCGCUACACUGAAGGAAGCAGCGGGUCUUUAUCCCUGUCUGAAAAGACUGGGUAACCCGUGGAACUUCUUUCGUGAUUGAGAUAGGGGCUUGCAAUUGUUGCCCUUGAACGAGGAAUUCCCAGUAAGCGYGAGUCAUAAGCUCGCGUUGAUUACGUCCCUGUCCUUUGUACACACUGCCCAUCGCUACUACUGAUUGAAUGAUUUAGUGAAGUCUUCGGACCGAUGUCCGGCGUGGCCUUUCGGGUGCGCCGGUCUGUUGGAAAGAUCACCAAACUUGAUCAUUUAAAGGAAGUAAAAGUCGUAACAAGGUUUCUGUUGGUUACCUGCGGAAG